AGCGAACGCUGGCGGCAGGCUUAACACAUGCAAGUCGAGCGGGCGUAGCAAUACGUCAGCGGCAGACGGGUGAGUAACGCGUGGGAACGUACCUUUUGGUUCGGAACAACACAGGGAAACUUGUGCUAAUACCGGAUAAGCCCUUACGGGGAAAGAUUUAUCGCCGAAAGAUCGGCCCGCGUCUGAUUAGCUAGUUGGUGAGGUAAUGGCUCACCAAGGCGACGAUCAGUAGCUGGUCUGAGAGGAUGAUCAGCCACAUUGGGACUGAGACACGGCCCAAACUCCUACGGGAGGCAGCAGUGGGGAAUAUUGGACAAUGGGGGCAACCCUGAUCCAGCCAUGCCGCGUGAGUGAUGAAGGCCCUAGGGUUGUAAAGCUCUUUUGUGCGGGAAGAUAAUGACGGUACCGCAAGAAUAAGCCCCG
rnacentral:rRNA from 1 species